UGUGUGUGAGUCUGUGUGUGUGAGUGUGUAUGUGUGUGUGAGUCUGUGGGUGUGGCUGAGCGGCCACUAUAAAGGCAGCCGCGCCCCAAGAUUCUCCAUCGCAUUCCACUCCUCCCCACCCAGCUCCACCAGCUCCUUCAGCUCCUCACCACCAGCUCCUCACCACCACCAGCUCACCAGCACCGCCGUCAAGAUGAUGGUCUCUAACCUCAUGAGUUACAUGUGUCGUGAUGAAGGGGACCUUGAGAUGGAGCUUCCCGUUGGCUUCCGCGGGAUUCUCUUCCGUGAUGACGGAUUCCAGGCAGACCGAGAGGCUGAAGCCAUCCAAGCGGCCAUCAAAACCAAGGGUGUGGACGAGGCGAAGAUUAUUGACGUUCUCACCAAGCGUGACAACGUCCAGCGGCGUCAGAUCGCUACCGCUUACCAGAUGGCCUACGGCAAGGUGCGGUUGACAUGGUUACACCACACCGGUU